GACGAACGCUGGCGGCGUGCUUAACACAUGCAAGUCGAGCGGAAAGGCCCUUCGGGGUCCUCGAGCGGCGAACGGGUGAGCAACACGUGAGUAACCUGCCCCAGACUUUGGGAUAACCCUCGGAAACGGGGGCUAAUACCGGAUACGACACAGCUUCGCAUGGGGUCUGUGUGGAAAGUUUUUCGGUUUGGGAUGGGCUCGCGGCCUAUCAGCUUGUUGGUGGGGUGAUGGCCUACCAAGGCGACGACGGGUAGCCGGCCUGAGAGGGCGACCGGCCACACUGGGACUGAGACACGGCCCAGACUCCUACGGGAGGCAGCAGUGGGGAAUAUUGCACAAUGGGCGGAAGCCUGAUGCAGCGACGCCGCGUGAGGGAUGACGGCCUUCGGGUUGUAAACCUCUUUCAGCAGGGACGAAGCGUAAGUGACGGUACCUGCAGAAGAAGCGCCGGCCAACUACGUG
rnacentral:rRNA from 1 species